rnacentral:sRNA from 12 species
CUGCGAGCCCUCUGGGAAGCUCCGUUCCCAAGCCACAGCUCCGGUCUAGCACUGCAAGAGGCACAGCAAAAUUCCACCUAUGACACUGCCAACGUGCCCUAAGCUCCACCCCAGAGGGAGCAUCUCUGAGGCUGAGAGAGCACUGCAGUCUCAGCUCCCCUGCAGACCUUUGGCUCU